UACGUAGGGACCAAGCGUUGUUCGGAUUUACUGGGCGUAAAGGGCGCGUAGGCGGCAAUUCAAGUCAUCUGUGAAAUCUCCGGGCUUAACUCGGAACGGUCAGAUGAUACUGCUUUGCUAGAGUGCAGGAGGGGCAAUCGGAAUUCUUGGUGUAGCGGUGAAAUGCGUAGAUAUCAAGAGGAACACCUGAGGUGAAGACGGGUUGCUGGGCUGACACUGACGCUGAGGCGCGAAAGCCAGGGGAGCAAACGGG
rnacentral:rRNA from 1 species